AAUAGAUACCCUGGUAGUCCACGCCGUAAACGAUGAGUGCUAAGUGUUAGAGGGUUUCCGCCCUUUAGUGCUGCAGCUAACGCAUUAAGCACUCCGCCUGGGGAGUACGGCCGCAAGGCUGAAACUCAAAGGAAUUGACGGGGGCCCGCACAAGCGGUGGAGCAUGUGGUUUAAUUCGAAGCAACGCGAAGAACCUUACCAGGUCUUGACAUCCUCUGCCAACCCUAGAGAUAGGGCGUUCCCCUUCGGGGGACAGAGUGACAGGUGGUGCAUGGUUGUCGUCAGCUCGUGUCGUGAGAUGUUGGGUUAAGUCCCGCAACGAGCGCAACCCUUGAUCUUAGUUGCCAGCAUUCAGUUGGGCACUCUAAGGUGACUGCCGGUGACAAACCGGAGGAAGGUGGGGAUGACGUCAAAUCAUCAUGCCCCUUAUGACCCGGGCUACACACGUGCUACAAUGGAUGGUACAAAGGGCAGCAAAACCGCGAGGUUAAGCCAAUCCCAUAAAACCAUUCUCAGUUCGGAUUGCAGG
rnacentral:rRNA from 1 species